GACGAACGCUGGCGGCGUGCUUAACACAUGCAAGUCGAACGGAAAGGCCCUGCUUUUGUGGGGUGCUCGAGUGGCGAACGGGUGAGUAACACGUGAGUAACCUGCCCUUGACUUUGGGAUAACUUCAGGAAACUGGGGCUAAUACCGGAUAGGAGCUCCUGCUGCAUGGUGGGGGUUGGAAAUUUUCGGCGGUUGGGGAUGGACUCGCGGUUUAUCAGCUUGUUGGUGGGGUAGUGGCUUACCAAGGCUUUGACGGGUAGCCGGCCUGAGAGGGUGACCGGCCACAUUGGGACUGAGAUACGGCCCAGACUCCUACGGGAGGCAGCAGUGGGGAAUAUUGCACAAUGGGCGGAAGCCUGAUGCAGCAACGCCGGGUGCGGGAUGACGGCCUUCGGGUUGUAAACCGCUUUCGCCUGUGACGAAGCGUGAGUGACGGUAAUGGGUAAAGAAGCACCGGCUAACUACGUG
rnacentral:rRNA from 1 species